UACGUAGGGUGCGAGCGUUAAUCGGAAUUACUGGGCGUAAAGCGUGCGCAGGCGGUUUUGUAAGCCAGAUGUGAAAGCCCCGGGCUUAACCUGGGAAUGGCAUUUGGGACUGCAAGGCUUGAGUGCGGCAGAGGAGACUGGAAUUCCUGGUGUAGCAGUGAAAUGCGUAGAUAUCAGGAGGAACACCGAUGGCGAAGGCAGGUCUCUGGGCCGCAACUGACGCUGAGGAGCGAAAGCAUGGGAGCGAACAGG
rnacentral:rRNA from 1 species